GUAUCUGGCAAUGGCACAGGUCGUUUCCAAGUUAGCGUUAACUGCUAAGAUUGCAGAGCCCCGGGUUAUGGCUUCUGUCCGCAGGAAACAAGAAAUAGGAACUUGCAGCCAUAACUGCUGAGUUGUUUUUGAAAUACCUGAAAGUUAAGGAGAGUGUAAGACAGCAUAAAUCAUCAUAUCUGAGGAAGAGAGAAAAGCCACAAGAGAUGUGCUGCAAUAGCCAGGAUAUGACAGAUGAAGGCAUCAGUAAGGAUUCAGAUCAACAUGGAAUUACAGUCAACCAAUGGCAUCUCCCGUAUGAACUACGCCUUGCUAAGAUAAUACACACAGCGUGUAAAGAUCUCCUCACCUAACAUCAAUGCAGAAACUCGUAUGUUGACAAACUCCACCUCCAUCCACCUGCUAAUUGAGCUACCUGAAGUACCUAUGUUCCAUAACUCCAGAAGUUGGUUAGGCAUUACAUUCAGAAUACAGUGAUUAAUUAAAUGAUCCAAAACGCAUCUUCCUGCUACAAAAUUCAAGCUGUUUAUCUGCAGCUAGUCAUGAUUGUAACAAUAAUGUCAGGUCUAAAACAAACUUUAACAAAUGUCUUAACAAAAUUUCUCUUAAGUUAAAUACAGGCAGAUGUUUACAAAAAAAAAAAAAAAAAAAAAAAAGGAAAGAAAGAAAGAAAGAAAAUCAGGAGAAAAAUAUAAGGAUAUCUGCCAACACUUAAACAUUAAAGAUUCAAAAUUCUAAGCACUGCUUCAACUACAAAUGGGAUCACAGCACCUGCACCACUUGUUGGACAAUUUUGAAUUUGAAGCUAUGGUCUUUCACAGCAGCUUCUAGCAUUAUUUCAUAAGUCUGGGUGCCAAAAUUUGCUGCCACAGACCUUCGCAUCAACUAUUGUUUAGAUGAAAGAGAUAAGACAUCUGUUCUGAGAACUUGUUUUCCUUGAAUAGUAAAGUUUAAAGUUUUUUCUUAUAUAUGAUGACAAAACGUAAAAAGAUCUACUGCAUAGAGAACAUUCUGUACUGGAUAACUGGAAACUGGAAGAAGAGAG
rnacentral:lncRNA from 1 species